rnacentral:rRNA from 1 species
UACGUAGGUGGCGAGCGUUGUCCGGAAUUACUGGGUGUAAAGCGCGUGUAGGCGGCAGGCCAAGUCGGUGGUGAAAGCGCCCGGCUCAACUGGGCGAGGUCCAUGGAAACUGGUCAGCUGGAGGACGGUAGAGGCGAGUGGAAUUCCCGGUGUAGUGGUGAAAUGCGUAGAGAUCGGGAGGAACACCUGUGGCGAAGGCGGCUCGCUGGGCCGGUACUGACGCUGAGGAGCGAAAGCGUGGGGAGCGAACAGG